UGCAAGGGUCUUGGACACGUCCGGGUGUGUU
rnacentral:piRNA from 1 species